ACGAAUAAUUUAUCUAUUUUUUCUUUUGUUGCUCAUGCUUUUGGUGUAAUAUCUAAGAAUCCAUUGCCAAAUCCAAGCUCAUAAAGAUUUACCCCUUUGUCUUCUUAUAAGAAUUUUAUGGCUUUAGCUUUUAUAUUUAGGUCAUUGAGCCAUUUUAAUUUUUAUAUAUGGUGGUAGAAGUCCAAGUUAACUUUUUGCAUAUGAAUAUCCAGGUGUUCCAGCACUAUGUCUAUCCUUAUGUCAGUAUCACACUGUUUUUAUUACUGUAGUUUUAUAGUAAGUUUUGAAACCAGAAACCGUGAGCCCUUCAAAUUUGUUCUUUUUUUUUUUAGAUUGUUUUGGUGCUUCAGGAUUCAUUGAAGUUUCAUAAGAAUUUGAAGAUCUGGUUUUUCAUUUCUGUAAAUAAGACUGUUGGAAUUUUGACAGGAAUUGCGUUGGAUUCAUAGACCACCUUGAAGAGUACAGUCAUCCCUUGGUAUCUGUGGGGGAUUGGUUGCAAGACCUCCCCUAGAUACCAAAAUCCGCAGGUGCUCAAGUCCCUUACAUAAAGUGGCCAAGUAUAUAGUCCACCUCCGUAUCCAUGGAUGUGGAAGCUGUGGAUAGGGAGGGCCGACUGUAUUGCCAUCCUAACAAAAAUUAAGUCCUCAAAUCCGUCAACAGAAGAUGUUUUCUCAUUUGCGUCUUUUAUAAUUUCUUUCAGCAAUGCUUUGUAGUUUCCAUGUGCAAGUCUUUCGCGUCCUUGAGUAAAUUGAUUCCUAGAUCUGUAACCAGGCAGGACUUGGUGGGGCCUUCCUGGGACAGACCCCUCCCCCAUAUUCUCUGCUGCGACUCCUCUGUGAAGUACCCAGAUAAUAGUAUCUGAUGCAUAUUUCCUGAGUUUUUCAGCUCCUAAAAACCACCAACACAUGGAAGAAGUUAACAACUUGACGAUUAUGGGCACGUAGCCCCCAGACCUUCCAGUGCCUUCCUGAUCACCAUCAACCAAUCAGAGAAUUGUGCACAGCUGAUCACAAACCCUGGGACGCCCCUCCCUCAGCUAGCCUUUAAACAUGCUCAGCUGAAACCAUUCAGGGAGUUUGGGGGCGUGGUUGGGUUUGAGCCACUUUUCUCCUGGCUGGGCCUGCAGUAAGCCUGUCUGUGCUCCAAACGCCCACGUUUCAGUUUGUUUGGUCUCCCUGCGUGUGGAGCACACGAACUUGUGUUCAGUAACAAUUUUGGCCAAGCCAGCCAGGAGUCUGUCCCAUGAUGGGUCAGCCCCACCUGGGGCAGCCCUUCCCUGGGCCCCCAGCAGCUGCUGGACCUCACUUUGCUCCAGGGAACCGGGCACCUGACCGGCACCAGCCGCCGCCCCACGGCAUGAGGCUGUUUGGAGCCCAGAAACGUUCAGAGCUGAGGUCCGCAUUCAGUGUCGCUUGGGGGCACGUUGGAAGAUUGCGUUUUCCUUCUCCUUGAAGUUAGACACAGCUACAUGGCUGUUGAGCCAAUAAAACGGGAGCAUAAGUGAACUAUGACUCUUCCAACGCCAGUGCUCUUCUCUCCAGACCUUCCUGCCCAGACUUCGACCAGUUCAGUCACAGGAGCUCAUGUCCACGUGGAGGUGAGGUAGGAGUGGGAGCAGCCUGGUAGGCUGAGCAAACACACGGUGGGACACUGUGUGGAGAGGUGCCUGGAGCCCAGCAGAUUUGUGCAGUCACUUCUGUUCCUGCUGGUGGCAAUGGAGAGAGAGACUCAUGCAGCUUUCCUUCAACUUCCUUGGCUGCUGAGCAGACAUGUGACAGUUCUGGCCAAUCAAAUGUACCCACGAGGGGUUUUCCGCUUGCAGCGUGGGAUCCGGAGAACCGAGGGCGCGUCCUUUGUGCUCACGGUGGAAUCCUCAUCAGGCUCGUUCUCAGAAAAUCUUAAAAAGGAACAACACUGUGUUCAUCUGGGAUGCACUGAGGAGAGCUGGAGACGGAUGUUCUGGGCAGCAUCUAGAUUUGGCUUAGAGGGACAUCCUCAAGGACCCACAGGAGGAGAGAGAAGAAAGCUGACUCAAGGACAUGGGAUCACGGCCAUGAGAAGCAUGUAUGGGACUGCCUAGAAAGAAAACUACACACCAAUAUCCCUUUUGAACACUGAUGCAAACAUCUCCACCAAAAUACUAGCAAACUGAAUUUAGUAGCAUAUUAAAAGGAUUAUACACUAGGGCAAAGUGGGAUUGAUUCCCAGUGUGCAAAGUUGGUUCACAUACAAAAUCCAUCAAUGUAAUACACUACAUUAGCAGAAUGAAGGGAAAAACCCAUAUGAUGCAGAAAACGCAUAUGACAAAAUUUAAUACCCUUUCAUGACAAAGAAAAAUACUCAACAAACUAGGAAUAGAAGGAAACUACCUCAACAUAAUAAAAAACCACACAUGAAAAACCCACAGGGAACAUCACACUCAGUGGUGGAAGACUGAAACCUUCCACUAACGUCAAGAACAAGGCAGAGAUGUCCAUUUUCACAACUCCUGUUUGACAUUACUGGAAAUUUUAGCCAGAGCAGUUAGGCAAGAAACAGAAGUAAAAGCUACUUAAAUCACAGAGAAGAUGGAAAACUCUCUCUGUUAACGGAGGAUAGAGUCGGAUAAAGAAAAUCCUAAGGAAUACAGUCAAAUACUGUUAUGGCUAGUAAAUGAAGUCAGCAAGGUAGCAGAAUACAAAAUUAAAGACCGAAAUCAGUUGUAUUGCAGAGGGGGGUUAGAAUGCCCAGGGGUAGAAUGCAUGCUUAGCACGCAGGAGGUCCUAGGUGCAAUCCCCACUUCCUCCAUUAGGAAAAAAAAUCAGUUGCAUUCCUAUACACUAACAAUGAACAAUCCUAAAUGAAAACUACCCCUCAAAUCCAUUUACAAUAGCAUUAAAAUAAAAUACUUAGGAACAAACUUAACCAAGAAACUGAAAGACUUGCACAAUGCAAACUAUAAAACAUUGCUGGGAAUAAUUAAAGAAAGCAUAAAUAGAAACAUAUUCCAUGUUCAUGGAAUGAAAGACUUAAAGAUAUAAUCUGUAGAUUCAGUGCAAUCCCUAUCAAAAUCCUGAUGCCCAUUUUUUUUUGCAGCAAUAGAAGUCUAUCCUAAAAUUCAUAUGGAACUCAAGGAACCCUGAAUAGCCCAGACAAUCCUGAAAAAAAA